rnacentral:rRNA from 1 species
GAUUGACCUCGGAUCAGGUAGGGAUACCCGCUGAACUUAAGCAUAUCAAUAAGCGGAGGAAAAGAAACCAACAGGGAUUGCCUCAGUAACGGCGAGUGAAGCGGCAACAGCUUAAAUUUGUAAUCUGGCUCCACUUAGGGGGUCCGAGUUGUAAUUUGUAGAGGAUGCUUUGGGCACGAUACCGGCUUAAGUUCCUUGGAACAGGGCGUCAUAGAGGGUGAGAAUCCCGUAUGUGGCCGGCCUCCAACCCCACGUGAAGCUCCUUCGACGAGUCGAGUUGUUUGGGAAUGCAGCUCAAAACGGGUGGUAAAUUUCAUCUAAAGCUAAAUAUCUGCCAGAGACCGAUAGCGCACAAGUAGAGUGAUCGAAAGAUGAAAAGCACUUUGGAAAGAGGGUCAAACAGUACGUGAAAUUGUUGAAAGGGAAGCGCUUGCGACCAGACCUGCCCGUCGAUGUUCAGCGAGGGUUCUUCCCCGUGUAUUCAUCGGCGAGCAGGCCAGCAUCGGUUCCGGCGGUCGGAAAAAGGCCUGGGGAAUAUAGCUCCUCUUGGGGAGUGUUAUAGCCCUUGGCGACAUACGUCCAGCGGGGACCGAGGACCGCGCCUUAGGCAAGGAUGCUGGCAUAAUGGCUGUAAGCGGCCCGUCUUGAAACACGGACCAAGGAGUCUAACAUCUAUGCGAGUGUUUGGGCGUCAAACCCAUGCGCGCAAUGAAAGUGAACGGAGGUGGGAGCCCCUAAGGGCGCACCAUCGACCGAUCCUGAAGUUUACGGAUGGAUUUGAGUAUGAGCAUAACUGUUGGGACCCGAAAGAUGGUGAACUAUACCUGAAUAGGGUGAAGCCAGAGGAAACUCUGGUGGAGGCUCGCAGCGGUUCUGACGUGCAAAUCGAUCGUCAAAUUUGGGUAUAGGGGCGAAAGACUAAUCGAACCAUGGUUGAAAAAGACUUACUAGGUGGUUAAUCGGGGUGGGGCCCCGCCCUUGGUGCCCCCUCCAGCCCCUCGGGGCAACAAUGCUAAUUGCAUGAAAUCGUUCGAGCCAGCCGGUUCGAUGGACAUGCUGCGGCCGCCGCUUAUCAUACACGGUGCUGUCCACAGACCAGAUAGCAUUGGCCGGGCUCUUGAAGCCGGGUUCAGAUAUGGUCGAGCCCUACUCCGCCCAAGGAGUCCGGCUUCAGGGGGGUGUACAAGCUCCCUGGGAGCCUCCACGGUGUUUGACGCUAGUAGCUGGUUCCUGCCGAAGUUUCCCUCAGGAUAGCAGUAACGUUUUCAGUUUUAUGAGGUAAAGCGAAUGAUUAGAGGCCUUGGGGGUGAAACAUCCUUAACCUAUUCUCAAACUUUAAAUAUGUAAGAAGUCCUUGUUGCUUAAUUGAACGUGGACACUUGAAUGCACCG